AGACCUGCGAAGGUUAACCAACGAAAAAAGACCUAUGAAGGUUAACCAGAGCUACGAGUACGAGAACCACGCCCAGCCGCCAUAGUCGAGUCCUACGCCGCCACCGAGAUCCGAGAGGAGCCGCCGCCGCCGAGAUCCGAGAUGAGCUGGCCACCGGACACCAUGACCUCCCUCCCCAGCCGGCCGCCACCACCCCCUCCCCCAGCAGCCAUGUACAGCGGGGCAGCGAUGGGUAUCGGCCUCCCUCCUCCCUUCGCCCAAGGCUAGGAACUCCCCUCCCCUACCCGAUCUCCUCCCUUCGUGCAAGGCCACGAGCUCCCCUCCCCUACCCGAUCUGACGGAGAGAGGGCCAGGUCUUGCCACUCCGGUGUUUGAUGUGGCCAGAUCCGGACGGGGGAUUCGCCGCAGAGCCUCCAUGUCGGUGGAGCAGCAGCAGCCCGACAGAAGAUCCAGCGCUCAAAUAAGAUUAUGAGGAAGGGCAUCACACUCUCCGGGAGCAAACAAGAUACCACAUACCGAUCCUGAUUCGGAAUUAUGACAGGGAGUCAGGGACACAAUCAAAUUUAUACCAUCCGUUGUGAUUCAAUUUGACCAUUUCAUUAAAAUUUCCGGAUGGAUCUUAAUUCCUCGGGAAUGAUGUGGUUCUGGAGUCUAUUGUUAAUCUCUUCUGUCGCAGAUGUUUCACAAAUCCAACUACCAUGUUGAUUUUCUGAUCAUUCUUUGAUGGCGGCAAUGAAGCAGCAGGCUCUGGAGAGCGUGCAGUGGAGGAAGGAGUUCCUGGUGGAGGUGCUGAUGCUGACGGUGCUCAGCCAGCCUAACUUCGUCAGCCUGGUCGGCUUCUGCGCGCAGGGGGACAAGCGCCUGCUAUUGCUUUCAAAGGUGGGGCAUGGGCUCAGAGGUGAGGCCACUAGCGGUUCAACUUUGCACAUACAAGAAAAUAAAAUCAAGGCACAAAUUGGACGGACAAAUGUUGAUAGAGGAGGAGAACACCAUGCAAUAAAAAGAAACACCCAAGCGCAGAUCUAUUUCAACGCAGACGGUACCUGAUGCUAAUAUAAUUUUCCGGCGUAGCAGCGAUCCAUCCAACACGGCAAGAGAUACCUAGGCACUCGGUGCUAUUUCUCACGUCAAUGCACCCCCUAUGCCGGGAAUCGUUGGCUCAAGCGGCAAUCGAGCAGGAUGGAUAUCCUAGCGCCUCUAUAUUAGCACCCACAAGGAAAGUAAACAUAGGCGCAUAUUGUGUUCAACAUGAUGAUACAAGCGAGAGUUGGCCUACGCCGCCAACUGAUCUGCGGCAGCGUGGAAGGAGUGUUCAAAAGCAGCAUGAGCAGUUGUUCUACUGCUGGUCGGAGGGAGAGCUUGGCAAGGGAGAUAGAGGGAGCUCUACAACCACGAUCUUGGCAUACAACCCGAUGGCAUCGUGCCCACAGCAACCUCCUUCUGGAUGACAAAAGAAUUAGGUCCAGAUAAUUUGUUCUUUGAGCAAAGCAACUUUGUUGGGGAUACCAAAAGAAGUUUCAGUUUUCUUACUAAUUAAUGCGGCAAUUGGCUGCCGCGACAGAAAACUGGGAGCCCCCUAGGAACAAAAUAAAAAAAAGAAAGAUCCUGCCUUUGCCCUUAAUACACCUGAUGGGCAAUGUCAUCACCAGCAUGAGUUUGGUCUCCUUAACGCACCCGAUCGAGGCCAUGGAGUCCGUCUUCCCUAUUCUACUAUUUGUCUUGUUCCUCGGGCAGGUAUUUGGUUUCAGACUUUAUCAAGUGGUCUGUCCUGACAAAUGAAAUGUGAUGAACACCUAGGGAAUAAUGUACCUAUAUAGUAUUAGGAAUCUUUUUGUAUCAAUGAAAUUGCUGUGCAUGCUCGUAGGUAUAUGUUCUCCUAUCUUGACAAAUGAAAUGAGUGAUUACAAAACUAUUUUUGAUCGA